rnacentral:snoRNA from 1 species
CGCACAGAGGAUGAUUACUAGGGACUUAAUACUGAAAUCUGAUGUCUCUUCAUUGGCUGAUGUGC